AGUCGAACGGACGGUAAGGCUCCUUCGGGAGUACACGAGUGGCGCACGGGUGCGUAACGCGUAUGCAACCUACCCUUUAGUGGGGGAUAGCCUGAAGAAAUUCAGAUUAAUACCCCAUAUUAUUCAGUCAUUGCAUAUUGAUUGGAUGAAAACUCCGGUGCUAAGGGAUGGGCAUGCGUGACAUUAGCUAGUUGGUGAGGUAAAGGCUCACCAAGGCUACGAUGUCUAGCUGGUCUGAGAGGAUGAUCAGCCACACUGGCACUGAGACACGGGCCAGACUCCUACGGGAGGCAGCAGUAGGGAAUAUUGGACAAUGGGCGAAAGCCUGAUCCAGCCAUGCCGCGUGGAGGAAGACGGUCCUCUGGAUUGUAAACACUUCUUUUCUGAAGGAAUAAACCUGUUCUAUAUGCACAGCUGAAGGUACUUCAGGAAUAAGCACCGGCUAACUCCGUGCCAGCAGCCGCGGUAAUACGGAGGGUGCAAGCGUUGUCCGGAUUUAUUGGGUUUAAAGGGUGCGUAGGCGGAACAUUAAGUCAGUGGUGAAAUCUCUCGGCUCAACCGAGAAACUGCCAUUGAUACUGGAAGUCUUGAGUUUAGAUGAAGUAGGCGGAAUAUGUCAUGUAGCGGUGAAAUGCAUAGAUAUGACAUAGAACACCGAUAGCGAAGGCAGCUUACUAAUCUAUAACUGACGCUGAUGCACGAAAGCGUGGGUAGCAAACAGGAUUAGAUACCCUGGUAGUCCACGCUGUAAACGAUGUUCACUCGUUGUUGGCGAUACAUAGUCAGCGACUAAGCGAAAGUGAUAAGUGAACCACCUGGGGAGUACGAUCGCAAGGUUGAAACUCAAAGGAAUUGACGGGGGCCCGCACAAGCGGAGGAGCAUGUGGUUUAAUUCGAUGAUACGCGAAGAACCUUACCUGGGCUCAAACGUAGAGUGACCAUCUGUGAAAGCAGCUCCCUUCGGGGCAAUCUACGAGGUGCUGCAUGGUUGUCGUCAGCUCGUGCCGUGAGGUGUCGGGUUAAGUCCCAUAACGAGCGCAACCCCUAUUCUUAGUUGCCAUCAGGUAAUGCUGGGGACUCUAAGAAAACUGCCUACGCAAGUAGUGAGGAAGGUGGGGAUGACGUCAAAUCAGCACGGCCCUUACGUCCAGGGCUACACACGUGCUACAAUGGUCGAUACAGAGGGCAGCUACCAUGUGAAUGGAUGCAAAUCUCGAAAAUCGAUCUCAGUUCGGAUCGAAGUCUGCAACUCGACUUCGUGAAGUUGGAUUCGCUAGUAAUCGCAUAUCAGCCAUGAUGCGGUGAAUACGUUCCCGGGCCUUGUACACACCGCCCGUCAAGCCAUGGAAGCUGGGAGUACCUGAAGUUCGUGACCGUAAGG
rnacentral:rRNA from 1 species